UACGGAGGGUGCGAGCGUUGUCCGGAAUCAUUGGGCGUAAAGGGCGCGUAGGUGGCUUCUUAAGCGUGCGGUGAAAGCCUGGGGCUCAACCCCGGGUCGGCCGUGCGAACUGGGGGGCUGGAGCACUGUAGAGGCAGGCGGAAUUCCGGGUGUAGCGGUGGAAUGCGUAGAGAGUCCGGAAGAACACCGGUGGCGAAGGCGGCCUGCUGGGCAGUUGCUGACACUGAGGCGCGACAGCGUGGGGAGCAAACAGG
rnacentral:rRNA from 1 species